UAAUAGUGUAUAUUAAAGUUGUUGCAGUUAAAAAGCUCGUCGUUGAAUGUUGGUGUCGAACGAGCGGUCAGCUUCGGCUGUACUGCUCUCUCGACUCCUUCCUUCUGUGGACUACGUCGCACUUUACUGUGUGGCGCUAGGACGCAGAUCGUUUACUGUGAAAAAAUUAGAGUGUUCAAAGCAGGCCGUACGCUUGAAUACAUUAGCAUGGAAUAAUGGAAUAGGACGUCGGGCCUAUUUUGUUGGUUCUAGGACCGUCGUAAUGAUUAAUAGGGACAGUUGGGGCCGUUUAUAUUCCGUAGUCAGAGGUGAAAUUCUUGGAUUUACGGAAGAUAAACUACUGCGAAAGCAUUCGGCAAGGAUGUUUUCGUUAA
rnacentral:rRNA from 1 species